CCCCUAGAUGUUCUGGGCCGCACGCGCGCUACACUGAACAGUUCAACAAGUCUUAACCUUGGCCGAUAGGUCUGGGUAAUCUUUGAACGCUGUUCGUGAUUGGGAUAGACCUUUGCAAUUAUGGGUCUUCAACGAGGAAUUCCUAGUAAACGCAAGUCAUCAGCUUGCAUUGAUUACGUCCCUGUCCUUUGUACACACCGCCCGUCGCACCUACCGAUUGAAUGGUCCGGUGAAAUCUCGGGACGGCGGCUUGGUCGCUUGCGUCCGACUGCUGAAACUUGAUUAAACCAUAUCAUUUAGAGGAAGGUGAANUCGUAACA
rnacentral:rRNA from 1 species